rnacentral:rRNA from 1 species
UACAGAGGUCCCAAGCGUUGUCCGGAUUUAUUGGGCGUAAAGAGCGUGUAGGCGGUUAGGUAGGUCCGUUGUGAAAACUCGAGGCUCAACCUCGAGACGCCGAUGGAAACCAUCUAACUAGAGUCCGGAAGAGGAGAGUGGAAUUCCUGGUGUAGCGGUGAAAUGCGCAGAUAUCAGGAAGAACACCCGUGGCUAAGGCGGCUCUCUAGUACGGUACUGACGCUGAGACGCGAAAGCGUGGGGAGCGAACAGG